GGAUAUGACGGUGAUUUGACCGUGGCAACUAUUGCCACACUGAUCGUCACAGUUGAUCGGCUGACCUGGCUGGCAAGGUGGGUGUCCCUUUUCUCGCUCACUGCCCCCUAUGCCUCCCUCCCAAACCUACAGAGAGAGGACAACCUUUCUGAUCCAGGAGGACCAUUCUUCAGUCAGGUAUAGGUAGCUGUGUUCCUCUGCUAGAAGCAACAAGGAUCAAGAAAAAAACACUUGUGACAUUAAACAAAUCACAGGACAUUCAACUUCAGUGUCCAUACCUG
rnacentral:snRNA from 1 species